CCUACGGGCGGCAGCAGUGAGGAAUAUUGGUCAAUGGACGAGAGUCUGAACCAGCCAAGUAGCGUGAAGGAUGACUGCCCUAUGGGUUGUAAACUUCUUUUAUAUGGGAAUAAAAUGUUCCACGUGUGGGAUUUUGUAUGUACCAUAUGAAUAAGGAUCGGCUAACUCCGUGCCAGCAGCCGCGGUAAUACGGAGGAUCCGAGCGUUAUCCGGAGUUAUUGGGUUUAAAGGGAGCGUAGGUGGAUUGUUAAGUCAGUUGUGAAAGUUUGCGGCUCAACCGUAAAAUUGCAGUUGAAACUGGCAGUCUUGAGUACAGUAGAGGUGGGCGGAAUUCGUGGUGUAGCGGUGAAAUGCUUAGAUAUCACGAAGAACUCCGAUUGCGAAGGCAGUUCACUGGACUGCAACUGACACUGAGGCUCGAAAGUGUGGGUAUCAAACAGGAUUAGAUACCCCUGUAGUC
rnacentral:rRNA from 1 species